AUAACUCAAACAUUUAAAUGUUAUCAAUAAAAAAAAAAAAAAAAAAAAAAAAAAAAAAAAAAAAAAAAAAAAAAAAAAAAAAAAAAAAAAAAAAAAAACGAAACAAAAAAAAAAAAAAAAAAAAAAAGAAAAGCACUACCUAUCUUUUCUCGAAGUGCUUCGUCGUUUUUUUGAACCCUCAUAACUUGGGUUUGGAUUAUACUAGAUAAACAAAAUUCUGGGGAUAUGAUGUCAACAGUGGACUUAUUAAACAUAUAAAGUUUCAAUU
rnacentral:misc_RNA from 1 species